rnacentral:rRNA from 1 species
GAGGCCUACCAUGGUGGUAACGGGUAACGGGGUGUUAGGGCACGACACCGGAGAGGGAGCCUGAGAAACGGCUACCACAUCCAAGGAUGGCAGCAGGCGCGCAAAUUACCCAAUCCCGACACGGGGAGGUAGUGACAAUAAAUAACAAUACGGGGUUCUUUAGGAUCUCGUAAUUGGAAUGAGUACAAUUUAAAUCUCUUAACGAGGAACAAUUGGAGGGCAAGUCUGGUGCCAGCAGCCGCGGUAAUUCCAGCUCCAAUAGCGUAUAUUAAAGUUGUUGCAGUUAAAAAGCUCGUAGUUGAAUUUCGGGGUUAGUAGGUUGGUCAUGCCUCUGGUAUGUACUGGUCUCACUGAUUCCUCCUUCCUUAUGAACCGUAAUGCCAUUAAUUUGGUGUUGCGGGGAAUUUGGACUGUUACUUUGAAAAAAUUAGAGUGUUUAAAGCAAGCUAACGCUUGAAUACAUUAGCAUGGAAUAAUGAAAUAGGACGUUCGAUCUUAUUUUGUUGGUUUCUAGGAUUGACGUAAUGAUUAAUAGGGAUAGUUGGGGGCAUUAGUAUUCAAUUGUCAGAGGUGAAAUUCUUGGAUUUAUUGAAGACUAACUACUGCGAAAGCAUUUGCCAAGGAUGUUUUCAUUAAUCAAGAACGAAAGUUAGGGGAUCGAAGACGAUCAGAUACCGUCGUAGUCUUAACCAUAAACUAUGCCGACUAGGGAUCGGAUGA